AUGAACGCUAGCUACAGGCUUAACACAUGCAAGUCGCGGGGCAGCAUGAUUGAAGCUUGCUUCACUCGAUGGCGACCGGCGCACGGGUGAGUAACACGUAUCCAACCUGCCGAUAACUCGGGGAUAGCCUUUCGAAAGAAAGAUUAAUACCCGAUAGUAUAGUAUUUCCGCAUGGUUUCACUAUUAAAGAACUUCGGUUAUCGAUGGGGAUGCGUUCCAUUAGAUAGUUGGCGGGGUAACGGCCCACCAAGUCAACGAUGGAUAGGGGUUCUGAGAGGAAGGUCCCCCACAUUGGAACUGAGACACGGUCCAAACUCCUACGGGAGGCAGCAGUGAGGAAUAUUGGUCAAUGGACGAGAGUCUGAACCAGCCAAGUAGCGUGAAGGAUGACUGCCCUAUGGGUUGUAAACUUCUUUUAUACGGGAAUAAAGUGGAGUAUGCAUACUCCUUUGUAUGUACCGUAUGAAUAAGGAUCGGCUAACUCCGUG
rnacentral:rRNA from 1 species